rnacentral:rRNA from 1 species
UAGGGAAUUUUCCGCAAUGGGCGAAAGCCUGACGGAGCAACGCCGCGUGAGGGAUGAAGGUCUUCGGAUCGUAAACCUUUGUCUAGAGGGACGAUAAUGACGGUACCUCUGGAGGAAGCCACGGCUAACUACGUGCCAGCAGCCGCGGUAAUACGUAGGUGGCAAGCGUUGUCCGGAAUUACUGGGCGUAAAGGGCGUGUAGGCGGCCUUUUAAGUCAGACGUGAAAUCUCUGGGCUUAACCCAGAAAUUGCGUUUGAAACUGGAGGGCUUGAGGAUCGGAGAGGGCAGUGGAAUUCCCAGUGUAGCGGUGAAAUGCGUAGAUAUUGGGAGGAACACCAGUGGCGAAGGCGACUGCCUGGACGACACCUGACGCUGAGGCGCGAAAGCUAGGGGAGCAAACG